rnacentral:rRNA from 1 species
CUACGGGCCGCACCAGUGGGGAAUAUUGCACAAUGGAGGAAACUCUGAUGCAGCAACGCCGCGUGGAGGAUGACACUUUUCGGAGCGUAAACUCCUUUUAUAUAGGAAGAAGAUGACGGUACUAUAUGAAUAAGCGCCGGCUAACUCCGUGCCAGCAGCCGCGGUAAUACGGAGGGCGCAAGCGUUACUCGGAAUCACUGGGCGUAAAGAGCGUGUAGGCGGAUUAAAAAGUCAGAAGUGAAAUACUAUAGCUUAACUAUAGAACUGCUUCUGAAACUCUUAAUCUAGAAUAUGGGAGAGGUAGAUGGAAUUUCUGGUGUAGGGGUAAAAUCCGUAGAGAUCAGAAGGAAUACCGAUUGCGAAGGCGAUCUACUAGAACAUUAUUGACGCUGAGACGCGAAAGCGUGGGGAGCAAGCAGGAUUAGAUACCCCUGUAGUC